rnacentral:tRNA from 1 species
GUCCACUUAACCCAGUGGUCAGAGCAUCACUCUUCAAUGUUGGAUUCAUAGGUUCAAUUCCUGCAGUGUAUA